CCGCUGAAUUUAAGCAUAUCAGUAAGCGGAGGAAAAGAAACUAACAAGGAUUCCCUUAGUAAUGGCGAGUGAACAGGGAAUAGCUCAGAACCGAAUCCCUCAGCUUUUAGUUGUUGGGAAAUGUGGUGUUUGGGUUUGCUUUCGCGGCGGUUUGCUCAUCGUAGAUCCACAUGAUUGUGGUUCAUUGCCCAUAGAGGGUGUAAGGCCCGUAACGAUGAAGUGACUGCUGCUUUGGCAAAACCCUAGAGUCGGGUUGUUUGGGAUUGCAGCCCAAAGUGGGUGGUAAACUCCAUCCAAAGCUAAAUAUGAGCAUGAGUCCGAUAGUAAACAAGUACCGUGAGGGAAAGUUGAAAAGGACUUUGAAGAGAGAGUUCAAUAGUACGUGAAACCGCUCAGAGGUAAGCGGGUAGAGCCCAAAUUAGCUUGUGGUUUUAGAUUCUUCUGAUGCUAGCAUGCUGCUUGACGGACUUAUCUGACGUCGGUGGUAUGACUGGGUGUUGGUUGGUCGAUUGCCACUUGCUUUAACUACCAUCAGCGAGUGAUGGGUUGGCUGUGGAGUUGCUGCUGGCCGGUGCUUUUAUUAGUGCUGGUUUAGACGCUUUGCGCUUGCCUGUUGGUUGCUGGGCUAAACGACAUAAUUAGUGCAAGUGUACGCCCGAUUCGUUGACUGGCAGGUGACUCCCAAAGAGUUGCUUUGCUGGUUAGUGGGUUGACGUGUGCAUCUCUGUGCUUAUGUCAGCAAUGGUGGUUAUUUGUAGGCCGUCUACCCGGCCCGUCUUGAAACACGGACCAAGGAGUCUAACACAUACGCGAGUCAUUGGGUAGUACGAAACCUACUGGCGUACUGAAAGGAAAGGUCUGCUUUGGUAGACUCAGGUGAGAUCUGCGUUCUCUUGGGGACGCAGCGCAUCACCGGCUCGUCUCAUGCUUUUUAAGUGGGGCGAAGCAAGAGCGUAUGUGUUGGGACCCGAAAGAUGGUGAACUAUGCUUGCGUAGGCUGAAGCCAAGUGAAAACUUGGUGGAGGGCCGAAGCGCUUCUGACGUGCAAAUCGAUCGUCAAACGUGAGUAUAGGGGCGAAAGACUAAUCGAACCAUCUAGUAGCUGGUUACUUCCGAAGUUUCCCUCAGGAUAGCUGGCACUCGGGAAACAAACAGUUUUAUCCGGUAAAGCGAAUGAUUAGAAGUAUUGGGGGUGAAAUGCCCUCAACUUAUUCUCAAACUUUAAAUGGGUAAGAUGCUCCACUCGCUUGACUGGAGUGGGGCCAUGAAUGUGAGUGCCCAGUGGGCCAUUUUUGGUAAGCAGAACUGGCGAUGUGGGAUGAACCAAACGUGGCGGUUACGGUGCCUGACAUGACGCUCAUCAGAUACCACAAAAGGUGUUGGUUGAUAUAGACAGCAGGACGGUGGCCAUGGAAGUCGGAAUCCGCUAAUGAGUGUGUAACAACUCACCUGCCGAAUCAACCAGCCCUGAAAAUGGAUGGCGCUGGAGCGUCGGACCUAUACCGCGCCCUUACUGCGAUGCAUGGCAUGGAUGUAGUAAGGAGUAGGAAGUCGACGAGGUAAGCAUGGAAGCUGCGGUCGUAGGGCCGAGUCGAGCUGCCUCGUGUGCAGAUCUUGGUGGUAGUAGCAAGUAUUCAAGUGAGACUCUUGAAGGCCGACGUGGAGAAGGGUUCC
rnacentral:rRNA from 1 species